UCUAAAAUCGACCUCCCCCGUGCUAUGGGGGAGGAUCGGAGAUGGCCGUCCGUGCCCACCAGCGGUGCGGUUGGCUUAAACGAGCACGGGACUUGUGGCCAAUGUCACGAUGAGCGGUGGCCUGUGUGGGUCGGCGUUGGAUUGUGGCAUGAGGUUGCGGCUUUGUGUGGAACUUUAUUUGUGGUUGGUCGGAGCCUUCCUUCGGGAGGGUCCGUCUAUAACUC
rnacentral:precursor_RNA from 1 species